AGUGAACGCUGGCGGUAGGCCUAACACAUGCAAGUCGAACGGCAGCACAGUAAGAGCUUGCUCUUACGGGUGGCGAGUGGCGGACGGGUGAGGAAUACAUCGGAAUCUACUUUUUCGUGGGGGAUAACGUAGGGAAACUUACGCUAAUACCGCAUACGACCUACGGGCGAAAGCAGGGGAUCUUCGGACCUUGCGCGAUUGAAUGAGCCGAUGUCGGAUUAGCUAGUUGGCGGGGUAAAGGCCCACCAAGGCGACGAUCCGUAGCUGGUCUGAGAGGAUGAUCAGCCACACUGGAACUGAGACACGGUCCAGGCUCCUACGGGAGGCAGCAGUGGGGAAUAUUGGACAAAGGGCGCAAGCCUGAUCCAGCCAUACCGCGUGGGUGAAGAAGGCCUUCGGGUUGUAAAGCCCUUUUGUUGGGAAAGAAAAGCAGCAGGUUAAUACCCCGCUGUUCUGACGGUACCCAAAGAAUAAGCACCGGCUAACUUCGUG
rnacentral:rRNA from 1 species